rnacentral:lncRNA from 1 species
CCGAGUAAUGGAACUCACUCGCCGAGUAAUGGAACUCACUCGCCGAGUAAUGGAACUCACUCGCCGAGUAAUGGAACUCACUCGCCGAGUAAUGAAAUCGACUCACCGAGUGAAGAAAAACUUGAGAAAUCAACUAUAACAGUUUAUAUCGAUUAGAGACCACCAUUUGGAGAAUAUCAUUUUCAAAACCAAUGUGAAACGAACUUUAUUCCUUCAGGGAUAUCAGAUGACAUUGGCAUAAAAGAAUUCUUUCCUGCAGAUUGUAUCAUAUCUUUAAAGACUAAAGGAAGAUAUAGAGAAUUGUUGUAAUCUGUUUAUUAUAGAAAUAUUUCUUCUGAACCGAGGUUAUUUGCAGAUUUUCUCAAAUUCGUUUGGAGUGCAUAUUCAACAGUAGGUUGCAAUACAGUAUAGAUUGUACAGAAGAAAAACAUCCAUAAUUUGAAGACAUAUUACAGAAAAUGGAUUGUGUGAGACCAAAAAGCUGAUCUUAUGAGAUUGAUUUUUCUGGUGAGAAACUGAGAAAGAAAUCAAAGAAACAUCAUAUCACUGUGGCAUUACAAAAUGUCAGUCUCAAAAGUUAAACUGAUUAAAUAUAUUCAUUGGAAAAGGAAGCAAAACCACUGUAAUGUAUGUGAUAAAUAACUCUUUAGAAAUGAUGCUUUAGGCAUUCACAAACGUAUUCAUACAAGCAAAACACUGUAUCACUGUGAUGUCUGUGGAAACCAUUCUCUUUUCAAAAGAGCCUUUAAUAGGCAAAAACUUAUUCAUACAGGUGAGCAGCCAUAAAGUAGAUAGUUGUGGUAAAUCAUUCUCUCAAAGAUAUGCUUUAUGUAGGCACAAAUGUAUACAUACAAACAAGAAGCCAUAUCAAUGUCAUAUCUGUGGUAAAUCAUUCUACACUGAAAAUGCCUUAACUCAACACAAGUGUUUGCCGUAUCUCUGUGGAUUUGGCAGUAAGUUAUACUUUGCAAAUAAUUACUUAACUGGACACAGACAUGCUCCCGUCUUUGAUCAAGCUUUCCCAAUAUAAUCAUACUUUGAUUCCACCUGUAUAUAAUCAUACAGAUCAAUAAUUAUCAAUACUAAGUCAUUUACUUGUAAUUUUAUAUACAAUUUAUAAACAAUGAAAGCCUAAUAAAGAUAGUUCUUAAUAAUAAUUGGUAACAAUGUGACCUUGUUGCUAUUUGGAACUUCUUCAACAAAAUGAUCCUCUUACUGUGGGCUGAACCAUUCUAAAGACCCAUUGUAAUGUUACUUGUCCUAAACUGCCAUUCUACUUGUGAUGACAGCAUUCGAUGCCAUGGCUUGACCUUUUAGUGUUUAAGCCAGCUAUAUCUAGUCAAAAUACUUUACCUGUUUUAUCUUCAAGCUGGUCAGAUAUGGUCUUUCAUAGCUACCUUAUAUUGUCAUUUUUGAAAAAGUAAUCACAUCAUUGAAAUCUCAAAGCCAUCAAAUGAUGCCGGAUUAAUUUAAAAUGGUGUGAAUACAUAAUCUUUACAUUUGAUCGAAUAAUCAGAAUGCUGAAUGUUGGUAGAUCCACUUAUACUCUUCAAUCCUAACCCCUUGCUUGGAAAUAAAUCAAGGAAAUGUUGUUUUUUAUUAAAAAGGAGAAUACUAUGGAAAAUAAAACUUCCUUACCACUUUUCAA